UAGUAGCGGCGAGCGAAGCGGGAAGAGCUCAAAUUUGUAAUCUGGCGUCCUCCGGGCGUCCGAGUUGUAAUCUAUAGAGACGUUUUCCGUGCCGGACCGUGUCCAAGUCCCUUGGAACAGGGUAUCAAAGAGGGUGACAAUCCCGUACUUGACACGACGACCGGUGCUCUGUGAUACGUUUUCUACGAGUCGAGUUGUUUGGGAAUGCAGCUCAAAAUGGGUGGUAAAUUCCAUCUAAAGCUAAAUAUAGGCGAGAGACCGAUAGCGAACAAGUACCGUGAGGGAAAGAUGAAAAGCACUUUGGAAAGAGAGUUAAACAGUAUGUGAAAUUGUUGAAAGGGAAACGAUUGAAGUCAGUCAUGUCCAUUGGAUUCAGCUGGUUCUGUCAGUGUAUUUCCUUUGGACGGGUCAACAUCAGUUUGAGCCGACGGAUAAUGGCAGAGGGAAUGUGGCACCCCCGGGUGUGUUAUAGCCCUUUGUCGCAUACGUCGGCCCAGACUGAGGAAUGCAGCUCGCCUUUAUGGCCGGGGUUCGCCCACGUACGAGCUUAGGAUGUUGGCAUAAUGGCUUUAAACGACCCGUCUUGA
rnacentral:rRNA from 1 species